UUAAGUUAUUAAGGGCGCACGGUGGAUGCCUUGGCACUAGAAGCCGAUGAAGGACGUUACUAACGACGAUAUGCUUUGGGGAGCUGUAAGUAAGCUUUGAUCCAGAGAUUUCCGAAUGGGGAAACCCAGCAUGAGUUAUGUCAUGUUAUCGAUAUGUGAAUACAUAGCAUAUCAGAAGGCACACCCGGAGAACUGAAACAUCUUAGUACCCGGAGGAAGAGAAAGAAAAUUCGAUUCCCUUAGUAGCGGCGAGCGAAACGGGAAGAGCCCAAACCAACAAGCUUGCUUGUUGGGGUUGUAGGACACUCUAUACGGAGUUACAAAGGACGACAUUAGACGAAUCAUCUGGAAAGAUGAAUCAAAGAAGGUAAUAAUCCUGUAGUCGAAAAUGUUGUCUCUCUUGAGUGGAUCCUGAGUACGACGGAGCACGUGAAAUUCCGUCGGAAUCUGGGAGGACCAUCUCCUAAGGCUAAAUACUCUCUAGUGACCGAUAGUGAACCAGUACCGUGAGGGAAAGGUGAAAAGCACCCCGGAAGGGGAGUGAAAUAGAACCUGAAACCGUGUGCUUACAAGUAGUCAGAGCCCGUUAAUGGGUGAUGGCGUGCCUUUUGUAGAAUGAACCGGCGAGUUACGAUUUGAUGCAAGGUUAAGCAGUAAAUGUGGAGCCGUAGCGAAAGCGAGUCUGAAUAGGGCGUUUAGUAUUUGGUCGUAGACCCGAAACCAGGUGAUCUACCCUUGGUCAGGUUGAAGUUCAGGUAACACUGAAUGGAGGACCGAACCGACUUACGUUGAAAAGUGAGCGGAUGAACUGAGGGUAGCGGAGAAAUUCCAAUCGAACCUGGAGAUAGCUGGUUCUCUCCGAAAUAGCUUUAGGGCUAGCCUCAAGUGAUGAUUAUUGGAGGUAGAGCACUGUUUGGACGAGGGGCCCCUCUCGGGUUACCGAAUUCAGACAAACUCCGAAUGCCAAUUAAUUUAACUUGGGAGUCAGAACAUGGGUGAUAAGGUCCGUGUUCGAAAGGGAAACAGCCCAGACCACCAGCUAAGGUCCCAAAAUAUAUGUUAAGUGGAAAAGGAUGUGGCGUUGCCCAGACAACUAGGAUGUUGGCUUAGAAGCAGCCAUCAUUUAAAGAGUGCGUAAUAGCUCACUAGUCGAGUGACACUGCGACGAAAAUGUACCGGGGCUAAACAUAUUACCGAAGCUGUGGAUUGUCCUUUGGACAAUGGUAGGAGAGCGUUCUAAGGGCGUUGAAGCAUGAUCGUAAGGACAUGUGGAGCGCUUAGAAGUGAGAAUGCCGGUGUGAGUAGCGAAAGACGGGUGAGAAUCCCGUCCACCGAUUGACUAAGGUUUCCAGAGGAAGGCUCGUCCGCUCUGGGUUAGUCGGGUCCUAAGCUGAGGCCGACAGGCGUAGGCGAUGGAUAACAGGUUGAUAUUCCUGUACCACCUAUAAUCGUUUUAAUCGAUGGGGGGACGCAGUAGGAUAGGCGAAGCGUGCGAUUGGAUUGCACGUCUAAGCAGUAAGGCUGAGUAUUAGGCAAAUCCGGUACUCGUUAAGGCUGAGCUGUGAUGGGGAGAAGACAUUGUGUCUUCGAGUCGUUGAUUUCACACUGCCGAGAAAAGCCUCUAGAUAGAAAAUAGGUGCCCGUACCGCAAACCGACACAGGUAGUCAAGAUGAGAAUUCUAAGGUGAGCGAGCGAACUCUCGUUAAGGAACUCGGCAAAAUGACCCCGUAACUUCGGGAGAAGGGGUGCUCUUUAGGGUUAACGCCCAGAAGAGCCGCAGUGAAUAGGCCCAAGCGACUGUUUAUCAAAAACACAGGUCUCUGCUAAACCGUAAGGUGAUGUAUAGGGGCUGACGCCUGCCCGGUGCUGGAAGGUUAAGAGGAGUGGUUAGCUUCUGCGAAGCUACGAAUCGAAGCCCCAGUAAACGGCGGCCGUAACUAUAACGGUCCUAAGGUAGCGAAAUUCCUUGUCGGGUAAGUUCCGACCCGCACGAAAGGCGUAACGAUUUGGGCACUGUCUCAACGAGAGACUCGGUGAAAUCAUAGUACCUGUGAAGAUGCAGGUUACCCGCGACAGGACGGAAAGACCCCGUGGAGCUUUACUGUAGCCUGAUAUUGAAAUUCGGCACAGCUUGUACAGGAUAGGUAGGAGCCUUUGAAACGUGAGCGCUAGCUUACGUGGAGGCGCUGGUGGGAUACUACCCUAGCUGUGUUGGCUUUCUAACCCGCACCACUUAUCGUGGUGGGAGACAGUGUCAGGCGGGCAGUUUGACUGGGGCGGUCGCCUCCUAAAAGGUAACGGAGGCGCUCAAAGGUUCCCUCAGAAUGGUUGGAAAUCAUUCAUAGAGUGUAAAGGCAUAAGGGAGCUUGACUGCGAGACCUACAAGUCGAGCAGGGUCGAAAGACGGACUUAGUGAUCCGGUGGUUCCGCAUGGAAGGGCCAUCGCUCAACGGAUAAAAGCUACCCCGGGGAUAACAGGCUUAUCUCCCCCAAGAGUUCACAUCGACGGGGAGGUUUGGCACCUCGAUGUCGGCUCAUCGCAUCCUGGGGCUGUAGUCGGUCCCAAGGGUUGGGCUGUUCGCCCAUUAAAGCGGUACGCGAGCUGGGUUCAGAACGUCGUGAGACAGUUCGGUCCCUAUCCGUCGUGGGCGUAGGAAAUUUGAGAGGAGCUGUCCUUAGUACGAGAGGACCGGGAUGGACAUACCUCUGGUGUACCAGUUGUCGUGCCAACGGCAUAGCUGGGUAGCUAUGUGUGGACGGGAUAAGUGCUGAAAGCAUCUAAGCAUGAAGCCCCCCUCAAGAUGAGAUUUCCCAACUUCGGUUAUAAGAUCCCUCAAAGAUGAUGAGGUUAAUAGGUUCGAGGUGGAAGCAUGGUGACAUGUGGAGCUGACGAAUACUAAUCGAUCGAAGACUUAAUCAA
rnacentral:rRNA from 1 species